rnacentral:rRNA from 1 species
GACGAACCGUCCAAACGUUGUUCGGAAUCACUGGGCUUAAAGGGCGCGUAGGCGGGCUAUCAAGUCCGGGGUGAAAUCCUCCAGCUUAACUGGAGAACGGCCUCGGAUACUGAUGGUCUCGAGGGAGAUAGGGGCACGCGGAACUGUGGGUGGAGCGGUGAAAUGCGUUGAUAUCCAUAGGAACUCCGGUGGCGAAGGCGGCGUGCUGGAUCUCUUCUGACGCUGAGGCGCGAAAGCCAGGGGAGCAAACGGG